rnacentral:rRNA from 1 species
UGGGGAAUAUUGCACAAUGGGCGCAAGCCUGAUGCAGCGACGCCGCGUGGGGGAUGACGGCCUUCGGGUUGUAAACUCCUUUCGCUAGGGACGAAGCUUUUUGUGACGGUACCUAGAUAAGAAGCACCGGCUAACUACGUGCCAGCAGCCGCGGUAAUACGUAGGAUGCGAGCGUUGUCCGGAAUUACUGGGCGUAAAGGGCUCGUAGGUGGUUUGUCGCGUCGUCUGUGAAAUUCCGGGGCUUAACUCCGGGCGUGCAGGCGAUACGGGCAUAACUUGAGUACUGUAGGGGUAACUGGAAUUCCUGGUGUAGCGGUGAAAUGCGCAGAUAUCAGGAGGAACACCGAUGGCGAAGGCAGGUUACUGGGCAGUUACUGACGCUGAGGAGCGAAAGCAUGGGUAGCGAACAGG